rnacentral:rRNA from 1 species
AUGGCCGACUCCCCCGAGUUAGCUCGUGCUCGGGACGUCCUGAGCGUGAGCGCCGACGAGCACGCGCGGGUGGACGCGCUCUCCUCCGCCGCAUCGGCAUCCCUAUCAACGGCCGCUACUCAUCUGUCGCCGAGCUUCUUCGAGGGAUUCGCGCUGCGCGGGAUCCGCGUCCUCCGCCUCCACCCGGGCUUCAUCCACUGCUCCUACACCGUCCCCCCGAGCCUCACCGACUCCACCACCGGCUGCCUCGCCGCCGGUGCCGUCGUGGCCCUGGUCGACGAGAUCGGCUCCGCCGCCUCCAUCUCCGAAGGCCAAAACCUCAAGGUCUCCGUCGACAUGUCCGUCGCCUUCCCUGAUCUCUCCCAGGCCCGCCCGGGGGACCGGCUGAGCAUAACGGCAAGGGCGCUCGGGCACAAGGGCGCCUACUCCGGCACACACGUGCUCUUCACCAACGCCUGCACCGGCAACGUCGUCGCCGAGGGCAGGCACUCCCUCUUCGGUAACAUGAAGAAGUCACCACCACCCAAGCCAGCAGCUACCACUCACAGGAGCAACUUGUGA